UACGUAGGGUGCGAGCGUUGUCCGGAAUCAUUGGGCGUAAAGCGCGUGUAGGCGGUUCGGUAAGUCCGCUGUGAAAGUCGGGGGCUCAACCCUCGGAUGCCGGUGGAUACUGUCGGACUAGAGUACGGAAGAGGCGAGUGGAAUUCCUGGUGUAGCGGUGAAAUGCGCAGAUAUCAGGAGGAACACCGAUUGCGAAGGCAGCUCGCUGGGACGUUACUGACGCUGAGACGCGAAAGCGUGGGGAGCAAACAGG
rnacentral:rRNA from 1 species